rnacentral:rRNA from 1 species
UACGAAGGGGCUAGCGUUGCUCGGAAUCACUGGGCGUAAAGCGCACGUAGGCGGACUCUUAAGUCGGUGGUGAAAUCCUGGAGCUCAACUCCAGAACUGCCUUCGAUACUGAGAGUCUCGAGUCCGGGAGAGGUGAGUGGAACUGCGAGUGUAGAGGUGAAAUUCGUAGAUAUUCGCAAGAACACCAGUGGCGAAGGCGGCUCACUGGCCCGUACUGACGCGUGAGGU